rnacentral:lncRNA from 1 species
CAAACUCCCUCGCUCGCUGGAUCUCGGGGAUCUUCAUCAACUGCUUCACUCCUCCUGAUUCCGUUUCCUCCAAGAGUUUCAACGACUCCGGUACCUAUCCUCUGUUUGAUCACAAAGAUUCUUCCAUUUUUUUGAAAUUGAAUGUUUCCUUUUAGAUAUCCGUAGUAGACGGAGCUCAACGGGAAGUGUGCAGAGACAUUACUAUGGUAACGGCAAUGAAACGGAGAAUCCUAAUCAGAGAUUCAGCUUCGACGAAAUCUACGCGGCCACCAAGAACUUCUCCCCAUCCUUCAGGAUCGGACAAGGAGGUUUCGGCACUGUUUACAAGGUCAAACUCAGAGAUGGCUCCACCGUUGCUGUCAAACG